ACCUUCCAACGCUGCAUGCAGAAAUGCAUGCUGUCGCUACUCGGCCGCAACAUCCACGUGUACGUGGACGAUAUCGUGGUGAAUGCCAAGCAGCACCUCAUGCUCCUCGACAAUUUGAAGGAAACAUUCUCCAACCUCCGCGAAUACAAGGUCAAGCUCAACCCGGAAAAGUGCGUCUUCGGCAUCCCGGACGGAAAGCUCCUUGGCUUCCCUGUCUCAGAACGCUGCAUCGAGGCGAACCCGGAGAAGAUCAAGGCCAUCGAGCGCAUGCGCAAGCCAACUCGGUUGCGCGAUGUCCAGAAGUUCACUAGAUGCGUGGCCUCGGUCAGCCAGUUUCUGAGCCGGCUGGGCGAGAAGGCGCUACCCCUGUACCAGUUGAUGAUGAAAAUAAGCCCGUUCGAG
rnacentral:rRNA from 1 species